rnacentral:lncRNA from 10 species
GCAGUUUCCCCUGCGCUUUUUCUCUCUCCUGUGCCUUGUGAAGAAAGUGCCUGCUUCGCCUUCACCUUCGGCCAUGAUUGUAAGUUUCCUGAGGCCUUCUCCGCCUGCAGAGCUUUUACUGAUUAUCAAAGAAGGACUGUGACUAAACUAGAAGGAGAAUUAACACUAUCCAGAGAUGGCUACAGUUCUGAAGGGAAACUUUGAGUCUCCACCUUUCCAAGAGUGGGGCACAGAUGUCGGAGCCAGACUGCCUGGACUCAAAUCUCAGAACCUGCAUUUAUUAGCUGUGUGACUUUGGAUAAUCCUCUCUCCACAACUUGAUAAUGCACAAACUGCAAAUCUUCUGGUACUCACUGCUGCAAGCAAACUUGAAGUCUUUCUGAGCCUGACUCUUCAUUCCUGCCUUGUGUGACCCAGGGAUGGAGGACUGCCCUCCCAACUCAUUAUCCUCUUUGCCCAGGAGCUGUACAUACAAAGGUGGUGAUUCCAAAGAAUUAGAGCAAACAAGCUGGAGCUGGAAUCUGUCCUGUUAUAAAAAAUCUGUUCCGCCCAAUCACGAGAAUGUAUGGGUCAAGGUUACAGCCAAUGCCUGCAAAUCACCACCGUGUGUUUCAUUGAAGAAAGUGCCCUGCUCAACCUCAAAUUCUUAUCUUUCAAAUGAUGAAGAAAAUGUCACCUUAUGGACAUCAUCAAAAUCUUCUUUCUGUAAUUGAAAUGGAAUUAAAAGUGAUUUCCUUGGUUUACAGCAAUAGCUAUAAAAUAAACCAAGCUGUCUCUUUGUUUAUUCUUCAGAAAAGUGAAACACUUGAGUUACAAGGAAUAAUCAGAGACUAAUGCCAAGACAUCCCUGAGAGUCCUCCAGAAUGAUGGAGAACCACAUUCCAUCUCUCUAAAUUGGGAGCAUAUUGUAGCUUUGCAGCAUAGCAAUAGGAGGUAUCUUUCUGGGUCAUGGCUUGAUGUUGCAGAAGUGGCAGUGGAGCCUCCAAAAUCCCUGCCUUCCUCAUCCCUUCCAGCUCCACAGGGCUCUGGAGAGGCAGACAAGGUUCUGCAAUGCUCACCUCAAAAACAGUGCUGUAGGAAGCACUUGGCGGGGUACUGCAGUCAUAAACACUCCGGGAUUCCAAGAUCCUGACAGAUGCCUAUGUCACCAAAACUCAAAUUUUAUACUUGGCUUCAUGUGAUACUCUUUUUUAUGAUGCAUAUAUGAUAUGGAACAACUGCUGCUAUGGAAUCACCCAGAAUAAAAGUGACCCUCUUGGAAAUGCCUCCAUGUAUGUGUGAGUGAGUGAGUGACAAGCUGUGACUUGUACUGUCUACUCUGUGUAGCACCUGGGAAAUGUGUCCACCUUGCUCCUUGUCACAGUCUGACUGUGGCUACACUACGCGUCGGUGAUCACUGUCCAUCGGGCAGAAACUCUCUCCUGAUUCUUGCAUGAAAAAAACACUAGUUCAUUCAUC